AAGACUCUACUUUCAGGGAUCAUUUCUUUAGUCUGGAACUAGAGGAUUGUGUUUCUACAGAGGUUGGUCUGGCUGUCCAUGAUGAUGAAUGAAGAUGUUUCCUUCAGAGCAGGAAGCUGGUGAGAAGAUGAGAAUCUUCUUCACUGAUGAAGACUGUUCAGUGU
rnacentral:snoRNA from 1 species